rnacentral:rRNA from 1 species
GACGAACGCUGGCGGCGUGCUUAACACAUGCAAGUCGAACGGAAAGGCCCUGCUUUUGUGGGGUGCUCGAGUGGCGAACGGGUGAGUAACACGUGAGUAACCUGCCCUUGACUUUGGGAUAACUUCAGGAAACUGGGGCUAAUACCGGAUAGGAGCUCCUGCUGCAUGGUGGGGGUUGGAAAGUUUCGGCGGUUGGGGAUGGACUCGCGGCUUAUCAGCUUGUUGGUGGGGUAGUGGCUUACCAAGGCUUUGACGGGUAGCCGGCCUGAGAGGGUGACCGGCCACAUUGGGACUGAGAUACGGCCCAGACUCCUACGGGAGGCAGCAGUGGGGAAUAUUGCACAAUGGGCGGAAGCCUGAUGCAGCAACGCCGCGUGCGGGAUGACGGCCUUCUGGUUGUAAACCGCUUUCGCCUGUGACGAAGCGUGAGUGACGGUAAUGGGUAAAGAAGCACCGGCUAACUACG